AGAGUUUGAUCAUGGCUCAGAUUGAACGCUGGCGGCAGGCCUAACACAUGCAAGUCGAGCGGGAGAGAGGUGCUUGCACCUCUUGAGAGCGGCGGACGGGUGAGUAAAGCCUAGGAAUCUGCCUGGUAGUGGGGGAUAACGCUCGGAAACGGACGCUAAUACCGCAUACGCCCUACGGGAGAAAGCAGGGGACCUUCGGGCCUUGCGCUAUCAGAUGAGCCUAGGUCGGAUUAGCUAGUUGGUGAGGUAAUGGCUCACCAAGGCGACGAUCCGUAACUGGUCUGAGAGGAUGAUCAGUCACACUGGAACUGAGACACGGUCCAGACUCCUACGGGAGGCGGCAGUGGGGAAUAUUGGACAAUGGGCGAAAGCCUGAUCCAGCCAUGCCGCGUGUGUGAAGAAGGUCUUCGGAUUGUAAAGCACUUUAAGUUGGGAGGAAGGGCAUUAACCUAAUACGUUAGUGUUUUGACGUUACCGACAGAAUAAGCACCGGCUAACUCUGUGCCAGCAGCCGCGGUAAUACAGAGGGUGCAAGCGUUAAUCGGAAUUACUGGGCGUAAAGCGCGCGU
rnacentral:rRNA from 1 species